GUCACCCCCUCCUUCCGGGGCCCACACCGCGCCCUCUCCGGGAGGCUUCACGCCCCCCGGCCGCCCGCUCCUGUGCCUCUCGGGUAAAGCGGAGCUUGGAAAUGCUUGAAAUACUCCACUUGCGCGAAUAGAGGUGAUUCUUUUGGGGUGAGAGGCCACAAGACCUACUGAUCAGGACAGGUGGCUGAGAGCAGAAAGCAUGGGUUUAUUACCAGUUCCACUCAUCAUUUGCCACGGUGGACUCCACAGAACAUCAGUAUAGAUCUGUGAUGUAACAAGUUCCGCACCUAACCUCACUGACAUCGGAGCUGAAUGAUGUGAACCUAGAGCUACUGGUUUGAUGCAGCAUAAUACCUCUUGUCCCAGUCCUGUAAGUGUUCUAGGCCAGGUUGGAUGGGGCCCUAAGAAACCUGUUCUAGUGGUUGACAUCCCUGCCCAUGGCAGAAGCGAGGCAGGGGUUGGAACCACAUGAUCUUUCAGAUCCCUUCUACCCAAGCCAUUCUACGAUUAUCUGCAAAUCUAACAAUUAAUUUUUGAGGGAUGAGAACAUGAAUGAAGAAAAACUUGAAUGCGUACUGUAUCCACCAUAAUGAAAAGAGCAAUGACAUGAGUUUUACUGAUUUAAGAGAUAUUAUAUUUUAUGUUUCUCUUCAAAGCCUUACAAUUCCUUACCAUAUAAGGAAGCAGGCCAGAAAUGCUGAUCUUCAUAGCCCCUAAUAUAGGAAUGUCUUACUCUGCACAUUGUGAAGCCAGAAACAUUUCCAGGGCCAUGCAGCUUUUGUGACAGAUCUUGGUAUCACUUUCUGGUCUAAGUGCAUUUCUCACCUUUUGUCUCCUUAUGUAUAUUCAUUGAUACUCAGACCUUUGGCUGUAUGCUGGUGAGUUUAGUGGGACUGAAGCUUGUAUUUUUUACCUUCCAUCAUGCAAUCUUCUGAAGUGUUCUGGGAUAUAAGAGGAGUAAUUAGUGCAAUUCCUACAGCUUUGUUUCUCUCCUUUGCAGCAACAAGUUUAUUGACCAACCCAGGUUUUCUAAAGCUCAGUACUGUUUAUUCAAUCACACUAUUUGUAGGAGUAAACCUCCUGUAAAACAACAAACCUUUAUUAACAUUUGACCAGCAGGCUCUCAGUAUUUGUACAGAUCAUUUGUCACCAACUCCUGGCAGGCAGCUAGGUGACCCUAGUUCGGUUCUCAAGUACAUGUGAAUAAACCUGGAUAAGCAAACACACGCGCUCGUGUGAGAGCCUCCACUGAGGUUGUUUCCAGCCCUUCUUUGUUGCCAGACCUUUUGUAUCAGAUCAAACCAGUAAAGUGGGCAUAAGGCAUAAGUCAUAUAGAUUUCCAGUGUUGUUUUUCUUCUAUCUGCUUUUCUCAACUUUCUGUUGGGACUCCACUGCAGGAUUUGUAGUUCUUUGAAAAUUCAUUUCACUCAACUGAGUCUGCUAAGAAUACAUUCAGUGACAAACACUUAUGAUAAAUGUAUCCUUUAUAUUAUCGAACCAGAAGUGUUUCCUUAUUUUGAAGCCUCUCAGAAUCUCUUAUAUUGCUGUGUUACAGUCUUUGAACGACUCAGGAUGUUAGGACAUUGCACCCGGAAAAUUUUUUUUAUUGGUUUAAAAGUGGCCCCAGUUUUAAUCACAGAGAGAUAUAUGUCUCACUCUACCUUUUGCCCUUACAGUUCCAGCUGAAACUCUUUAUUUAGAUUUCUCAGUGUUCCUUUUCAGAAAAGACAGAGAACAAAACUAGCAGAUAAUAGUUGCUGUAGGCUGUCACCUAGCUCCCUGACUACUUUUUAUAUGGAAUGGAAGACAGUAGCCAGACCAAAUAAUGAUGUAGCUCAGCUGAACUACAUGGGCAGAGACUUGGUUUCUGGGCUUGAGGUGGGGCAAAAACCAUUCUCUCUGCAUCUAUAUAGUGAGGGAGAAUGCAGGAAAAGCCGUAAAGGAAAGGAUUGUAAAGGACAGGGAAGCUUGCAAGAAAAAAGGAAAAGGGCAUAGCAAUAAUGAGAAUAAGUGACAUUGAAAGGCACAAAAGGCUGAAAAGAAUUUCAGCUCUGAAGAGUUUUUAGAAUUGGAAGAACCUGCAAAAAUAAAAACAAUGUUUCUUCUGGGUUCUUGGCAAGGAGAUGACAAUGAUCUAGUGAAGUGGGGAGAGAAAAUCAGGGACUUUGGCUGAAAAUCAGGGAUGGUAAGUGAGAUGAAUUUUUAAAAGGCUUCAAUGCUGAGAGAAUAAGAAAGCUACAAAUUAUUUGGGGGAGAAGUCUGAAGACAUAUUAGAGUGCUUUCUUAGGUAUGGAUAUUUGGCUGUAUUCUUGAAACCUGCCCUGAAGACUUGUGGAAACAAGAAGAGCAUUAGCGGAGCCUCCUUAUAGCAAGACUUUGCUAGAACCCAUUGGACUGCGAUAUGUAAGAGGAGUUACAGUCAGCAGUUUGCUUGGACUGGCGUACAGCCACUAAGGCUGCAUGAUACUUAACAUCCCACUUUGCUUCAAUUAGAUUUUUCUGCUCCAUCUUUCCUUACAGAGUUACUUCUCAUUUUCCAAUAAAGGAAUGGAAUUAGCUGAAACAAUUCUUGGUGGGUCUAUAGCGAGAUCUUACAUUGCACUUGCUUUUAGGAUGAUGCUGAAAACCCUCAGUACUUAGAUAACAUUACCUUUCUUGUGCUAAUGGCUGAAAUAACAAGAAACAAGUAUGCCUCUUACCUGUCUCUAAAUAAAUUUUUAAACAUCUGAAAAUUCUUCUUAGAUUUUCCUAAGUGUUCAUUUGCUCAGCCAAGCUAUGGGUCUGAAAACUGACAUGUACAGACACAGUCACUUUUAAAAUCACACUUUUACUGAGGACUGAAUCUUUCCUUUUUCAUUUUGGUAAAGAGGCUGUCCUGUGUCAAUAACAGUGCUGCCUCUAGAACUGUAAGAAUUCAGGAAAAAAGUGCUUUCAAGCCGCCCUGUAGUUACACACACUGUAUAAAAUGUAUCCCAUGCAGAGGGGUAACUUCUGUCCAUCCGUGUGGAGGCAAAGGAGGCGAUCCAAUUCUGGACAGCACAUUUGACCACUCCAGAAGUUCCCCAGCCAUUGCUCUUUGUAAGAAUUGAAACAUGUGCUUUGAGAAAUUUAGAAUUUGACUCUUUUCUUCAAUUUUAUUUCUUGUGUAUUGGAUUUGGUGUGCGAUGUUGACAGAUUCCAUUAGCUGUGUUCAGAUGACAUCAGUUGUCAAAGCUUCAUUUGUGUUGAAGCCCAUGCAAGAUUUUGAUGCUGGACUAAAAAGCAGACUGUAGAACAUGAAGAUGAUGUCACAAGCUCCUACCAGAAUCUAUCCUCAUAAAUCUCAUUUCAAUGACUAAAGACUUGAGUGCAACUAUGUUUAAGAAUGGACAGAGAAAGCACUGUUAAUGAAGAUGAAUUAUCCUUCUUGUUAUGUUGCUUUGUGAUGUUUUUGUCAGAAAAAGAUUCUCCUUUUGCUUUGAAAAGCAUUCAGCUGUUCUUGCUUUUCUUUUAAAUACUGACAAUUGUCAUCUGUUUAUUGUGCAAGAUUUGGUUAAAUUAUUUGAUACAACUUAAGGAUGUUAGAUUUGGUUAAAAUGUUGCACAGAAGAGUAGCUGUGCUUUAACCAUAUGCUGUUCUGUAUUUUCAUUCUUGGCUUUCUGUGCGUACUGUUAAGAUUUGGGGGGAAAAAUGUAACUCAAUACACAGUAAUGCAUUUCUCAAACUUCUCUUUAUGGUUUAUGCAGUUAAGUUGCAUAUGCUGUAUUCAGACUGACAAGUAGAAGGCAGAAGGGGCUGCCUUAAUCCUCAAGAAAUCUUGUAUGAUACAGAAAAAAAAAAAAAAAAAAAAAAAAAAAAAGAGGACUCAGGUCUCAAUUUCAAUUUACCUGACCAUGCCCAGGAACUUGCUCUCCUCUUUGAUUUGUGGCUGUAGAGGACCAGACCUAAGCAUGUUUUGUCUUAAACAUUCUGAGUAUUGCUACAGGAAAGGUGAUCAGAGGAGAGGGUCCUGCAGCGGUGGGGCAGAGGGUUCUGAGCCAAAUUCCUGCUCCACCCCGAGACGAGACGCGUUAUCAGUCCAGUCCCCUUGCCCCUGACUCACUCCCUCGAGGGCUAAAGGGCUGGCUGUGCAUGUGAGAAUUGCGUGAAAAACCUAGUUUGCCUAAGAGGCAUGCAUCAUGUUAACUAUAAAAGGGAGCGGAUUGGGCCCUGCUUGCUCCUCUUGUCUCUUUUUUCCUCCCUUCUCUUUUUCUUUCUCUUCCUUUGUCUUGCAAUCUCAGUUUAAGACUAUUCACACAGCAGUAAGGACUGAUGAAGUUCUUUGUUUUGUUCCCAUGCUUUGCCUGAGCAAAGUACAGCUAUCAUAUUCUAUGCUGUACUGAACUCUCGUUUUUCAAGUGGGGAGCUUGUGGAAGCCUGUUAUGGUUUGCGAGACAGCAUCUUUGCUUAAUGGUGUCCUGUGGAGUGCUAGUCAUCACCUUUGAGUAUUAGUGGUGUGGCUUUUGAGCCAGCAUCUUUGUGGAGUUUGUUAUGGGAGUUGAGAACUUAUUUAAGUGAACUCUACAAAUUCAGGGGUUUGUUAGCCACACCUUUUGAGUCUAAGCAGUGAGCUGGUUGGCAGAGUUACAGUGACUAAAAAGCAGACUGUAGAACAUGAAGAUGAUGUCACAAGCUGCUACCAGAAACAUUUCACAGCUGAAAUAACUGUGCAAUAGCAAUUUGAAUAUAAUGUAUGGGGAUCUAUAUUAAAUUUUGCAUUUUUUUUUUUCAGUUGGGCAAAUGGGUUAGGAUAACCAAGAUCUGACAUGAAGCUUUGGGAUGUAAAAAGAGAAGAGAACUUUACUAACUUGUUGCAAAUUUCUGAGGAUACCUUUGCAACUUUUAAACUACUUUCUCUCUGCCUUGUUUCUAGUUAUUAACUUGCAAGAACUCUUCAGCCACAUAUGGAAGAUGUUGAAAGUAGAUGCCUCCUCUCUUUUCCUCCCCUCCCAUUAGAUCAACUCAAAGCUAAAUGAGUACAAUACUCCUUGCCAAGAUUUAUAAUACUGAACACAAUUACUGAAAACCUUACCCAGCAGUGCUUUUUCCACCAUCGAUAGGAUUAUUCUGAGGGGGAAGUGAUUUUACUUCUCCGUAAUUAAUUUCCCAACCGCACAGAUGUGUUUAAACCACAGAACUGUUAUCUGCAAUCAAUAACAAAAUUCCUUACUGGUUACAGUUUAGUUCUGGUAAUUUGUAAUUAUGGGAUUAGUGGUGACCUUCAGGUUGUUGCUGGAAGAACAGAGCUGGCGGUGAAAUAAAGCUUGUGGGUCAAGAGCUGAAAGAGCUGAAAUCACUGGGCCUGGAGCUGUCAUCAUUGCAUGUCUGGGAUCAGGGCUGAACACGCCAUAGGAGCCAUAGGGCUGGCACACAGACUGUAGUGCUCUUGCGCCAAAAUCACUGUGGGCCUGGGACGCGCAUGCUGGGGCUGGGUAUUGUGACUGAAGCUAGAACAGGUCGUGUGGAGGGCAAAACGGGGCUGCAACAUUGCGCCUGAAAUCCCCGGCGAUGGCAGGAUACUGCCUGGCUCUGUGGAAGCACCUCUAGGGAUGGGGCCGAAACCACUGUGGGGCUGGGAAGGGUCCUGCGGUGCCGCGACUGUGAAUGAAAAUGGAAAACUAACUGAAGAUCUGAGAAGGGGGCUGUUGCAAUCGAGGCAAAUAAAGGCUGGGGAUGGCACAGGGACUGGGGAUUUUUGGCCAGGAGCUUGACUCACCGUUGGGCUGAGGUAUUGAUGGUGGGCUGGGCUUAGAGAGCCUCGGGCGGGAGCUGAAGUGCUGCAGGGCUGGAGCCAAGAGCAAGAUGAUGCCCUUUGAAGCUGGAGAAUCGUGCAGCUGCAGCUGGAAGAACAGAGCUGGCGGUGAAAUAAAGCUUGUGGGUCAAGAGCUGAAAUCACUGGGGCUGGAAAGGGGACUUGUGGGGCUGGAGCUGUCAUGUCUACAGCGCUGUGAUUGUCAUCGGUGCAGUACUUCAGACAUUCUUGAAUGUGGCCACGAUUGUAGUUGAGCAUUCCAGUCCAGAUAUGGAAACAUGCAGUUCUAGUGCCAUGUUUCAGAUACGUAUUAUAAUACUUGCUUUUUAUAAAUAUUUAAACGGAUUUACAUGCAUGGCCUUUAGGUAACUUUGUUAUAAAUAUAUAAUUUGUAUUUCAACUUUUAAUUAAGCUUAGACAUAGUAAUGAAAUAGCUAUGUUUGUGUUAAAAAGCCUGCUAUGGUUGUUUGAAAAUGCAAUUAACACAGGAUGAGGACAGCUGCUACAGAUAUGCCAACUAUCAGCACUCACCAUCUGAAGCAACUAUGGACCAAGGCCGAAACUGGAAGCCAUAAAGAGAAGGAGCCAAAAGCAGGGCCAAGAUCUCUAAAAAGGCGGACCCUGGGACAGGCCAUGUAAAAUAGUUCCUGGAAAAUGUAUUCUAGUUUAUGGAUAUGCAUAAGAGUCUAUGAAUAUGCAAGAGACUGAUGUAAGGGAAAAGGUAUUCCAGGGGUAUCCCCAAAACUAAGUGUGGUCUCGGCUCAGUGCCAAGAUGCACCCAGCCGUAAUAGCCCUUGCUUUAUGGUCCUUGUCUCCUAUUGUCCUUUAAUAAACUUUUAAAGUUUUCACAGGAGUGUGAUCAUGUUUUUCACAGCGAGAACCUUUGGAAUGCAAACCAGGAUUUAUUCAAUUGAAUCGCGACUGCGUGCUGUGCCCAGGUCCUUUGUACAAACAGUGUACCGGGAAAAACCAGAACUGGACAUUGCUCGUGAUAUGUAUCGAAUUUUUGGGGGUAAAAUAAAAAUGAUAUUAAAGUGGGGGAAAUGCUUCUUCGUGUAAAUAUUCUUGUCCUAAAG